rnacentral:rRNA from 1 species
GACGAACGCUGGCGGCGUGCUUAACACAUGCAAGUCGAACGGAAAGGCCCUGCUUUUGUGGUAUGCUCGAGUGGCGAACGGGUGAGUAACACGUGAGUAACCUGCCCUUGACUUUGGGAUAACUUCAGGAAACUGGGGCUAAUACCGGAUAGGAGCUCCUGCUGCAUGGUGGGGGUUGGAAAGUUUCGGCGGUUGGGGAUGGACUCGCGGCUUAUCAGCUUGUUGGUGGGGUAGUGGCUUACCAAGGCUUUGACGGGUAGCCGGCCUGAGAGGGUGACCGGCCACAUUGGGACUGAGAUACGGCCCAGACUCCUACGGGAGGCAGCAGUGGGGAAUAUUGCACAAUGGGCGGAAGCCUGAUGCAGCAACGCCGCGUGCGGGAUGACGGCCUUCGGGUUGUAAACCGCUUUCGCCUGUGACGAAGCGUGAGUGACGGUAAUGGGUAAAGAAGCACCGGCUAACUACGUG